GACGAACGCUGGCGGCGUGCUUAACACAUGCAAGUCGAACGGAAAGGCCUCUUUCGGGGGGUACUCGAGUGGCGAACGGGUGAGUAACACGUGAGUAACCUGCCCUUGACUUUGGGAUAACUUCAGGAAACUGGGGCUAAUACCGGAUAGGAGCUCCUGCUGCAUGGUGGGGGUUGGAAAGUUUCGGCGGUUGGGGAUGGACUCGCGGCUUAUCAGCUUGUUGGUGGGGUAGUGGCUUACCAAGGCUUUGACGGAUAGCCGGCCUGAGAGGGUGACCGGCAAGAGGGGUAGAGAGGCACGGCCGAACCACAUGCGGGAGGCCGCAGUGGGGAUUAGUGGAGACUGGGUAGGGGCCUUGUGCAGCAGGGCGGGGGUCGGGAUGACGCCCUGCGGGUUCGACCGCGAGUUCGCUCAGGGGGGAGGUUUGUGUGACGGGGGGGGGUAAAGAAGCACCGGCUAUCUACGUGCCAGCAGCCGAGAUAAUAAGGGGAAUAGCACACGCCACAUC
rnacentral:rRNA from 1 species